rnacentral:misc_RNA from 1 species
GAUGAAGAACGCAGCGAAAUGCGAUAAGUAAUGUGAAUUGCAGAAUUCAGUGAAUCAUCGAAUCUUUGAACGCACAUUGCGCCCCCCAGUAUUCUGGCGGGCAUGCCUGUUCGAGCGUCAUUUCAACCAUCAAGCCCUGCUUGUGUUGGGGUCCUGCGGCUGCCCGCAGGCCCUGAAAACCAGUGGCGGGCUCGCUAGUCACACCGAGCGCAGUAGCACAUCUCGCUCAGGGCGUGCGGCGGGCUCCAGCCGUUAAAGCACCCACCUUUCGCAAGGUUGACCUCGGAUCAGGUAGGAAUACCCGCUGAACUUAAGCAUAUCAAUAAGGGAGGA